AAGUUAUAGGAGUCCAGAGCCAGACAGCAACAGGAGCUCAACACACACGCGGGGCAAAGGUCAGGGUCAGUCACGGCACAGCGACUCUGGAGCCAGCGAUGAAUCAGGAUUCUUCAUCGAGGGGAAGCUUCAGGGAAAUGUUCACCAAGAGUCUGGAGCUACGUGAAGGAGCUCCAGCGUCAGCAGCAACAUCACAGCUCGCAGCUCGCUCCAGAAGAUCCUGAAGACCUGUCCUACAGAGACAGAGCCGCCUCCUCCUCCUCCUCCUCCUCGCCCCCUCUGGACUCUCUUCCCUGCCUCAUUUACCAAAUAUAGUUCCUGCUUUGUCCAUGUGGUGGCAGGUGGAGGUGGGGAAACAUGUCAGGUCCACUGAUUCUCACGCAAGAAAAAAAAGAAAAGAAAAGGAAAAGGAGCAUUCCGGGGCUGAGAAGUGGCUGUG